rfam:Candidatus Thiomargarita nelsonii contig_1291, whole genome shotgun sequence.
GUCAACAACCCCUAAGCCCUUCGGGACUUAGGGGCUUUUCAUCUUAGGAUUGAUAGCCCAGUUGACCAGGCUUAGUUUUACUACGUUAGGGAUGAAUAUAUAGGCACUCCGUCGAUACUUCACCAGUCACGGACUCUGCGGCAAAUCAUUAAACAGGUGUAAGGGUUUAAAGCCAGUGUGAUUUGUUUAGGUAGCUUGCUACCUAUAAACCGUCUCAUAACAUUGCCGAGGUGAAUUUUAC